rnacentral:rRNA from 1 species
UGGUGGAGUGAUUUGUCUGGUUAAUUCCGAUAACGAACGAGACCUUAACCUGCUAAAUAGUCACGCUAACUUUUUAAGUUGGUGGUCGACUUCUUAGAGGGACUAUUGACGUUUAGUCAAUGGAAGUUUGAGGCAAUAACA